rnacentral:lncRNA from 1 species
GAUCUUCUUCUCAGCUGUCAGGAGGUGGGAAGGUGGAUUCCCAGGGAGUUUCAGUAAAUGUCCUGCAGGUCACUUCUGCAGCAUCCAUCCUCGGUUGGUCAAAACUUAAAACGAGAAAGAAAACUGAAGAUCUUGCUUUAUGUGGCUGGCAGAACAAAGCAACAGGCCACCAAAAGGAUCAGAAUGCCUGUCUUAGGAUUUCCAUUGCUGUGAAGAGACACCAUGACCAAGGCAACUCUUCGGAAAAUAUUUCAUUGAGGCUGGUUUACAGGUUCUGAGCUUCAGUCCAUUAUCAUCAUGACGGGAAGCAUGGCACUGUGUAGGCAAAUACGAUGUUGGAGAAGGAGCUGAGAGUUCUGCAUCUUGAUCCGAAGGCAACCAGGAAGAGAUUGUUCUGCAGGCUGCCAGGAGGAGGGUCUCUUCCACACUGGGCAGAGCUUGAGCACCGGGCCUCAAAGCACCACCUCCACAGUGACGUACUUCCUCCAAUGAGGCCAUAUCUCCUAAUAGUACCAUUUCCCAUGGGCCAAACAUAUUCAAAACACCAAAACACCCAAGCAACAACUGAAAUAAGGCACAUAAAGUGGGAUGUAUGGGGUAGGAUCCUAUAAGAGUUAAAAUUCUUGGACCUAGUCAGAUGGCUCAGUGGGUAAAGGCAUUUACCAUGGGUACUGGCUAGUUUUGUGUCAACUUGACACAGGCUGUAGUUAUCACAGAGAAAGGAGCUUCAGUUGGGGAAAUGCCUCGGGACCCAGCUGCAAGGCAUUUUCUCAAUUAGUGAUCAAGAGGGAGGUCCCCUUGUGGGUGGUGCCAUCUCUGAGCUAAUAGUCUUGGUUCUAUAAGAAAGCAAGCUGAGCAAGCCAGGGGAAGCAAGCCAGUAAAGAACAUCCCUCCAUGGCCUCUGCAUCAGCUCCUGCUUUUUGACCUUCUUGAGUUCCAGUCCUGACUUCCUUUAGUGAUCAAGAACAAUGUGGAAGUGUAAGCUGAAUAAACCCUUUCCUCCCCAA